AGUUGACAGCUUAUGGAGCACACAAUUCAAAUUAAGACAUAAUAUUCUUACAGUUUAAUGUUUAGCAAGUACCAGUAGGCCAUUAGACUGUGCAUUUAUCUAGCUUAUGACUUCACAAUGCCAAGUGCUGAAUUGGAUUCAUACCUUUAGUGGAUAAGGAAGAUGGUCAAAAAGGAGAGAAGGGCUGCAGUUGCAUUUCCAUUUCAGCUACCUGGGAGUCACAACAAAGAAUGAAGCAUACUAUAUCAUUAAACACAAGACUGAGAAUUAAAUGAUCUGGGUCAUCAAGCAGCUGUGGAGGAAUCUUCUGCAAGAGUAAUUAUGUCUUCAAAUUUUUCCGCACAAAAACAAGACUACAGGAUGCAUCACCCUCCUCAAUUUAUAACCCCCCCCCACCUCCAUAGUCCUAAUUUCUCCAGACUCUAUAUUCAG